CAGCGCACUCCGGGGUCGGUGUAAUUCCGAACCGGCGGUAUAGUCCGCGACCCGUCCGCAGCCAGCGGCCGGUUGACCAGGUGAAAUUCCUGGACCGACGGUUAAAGUCCGGAUGGGAGGCAGUGCGCGG
rfam:Streptomyces sp. RSD-27 Contig1586, whole genome shotgun sequence.